AACGAACGCUGGCGGCGUGCCUAACACAUGCAAGUCGAGCGUGAAUGGAGCAAUCCUAGUAGCGCGGCGCACGGGUGCGUAACACGUGGGUAAUCUGCCUGGGAGACCGGAAUAACCUGCCGAAAGGCUGGCUAAUACCGGAUAAGCCCACGGACUCUUCGGAGUCUGAGGGAAAAGGUGGCCUCUGUAUACAAGCUAUCACUUCCAGAUGAGCCCGCGGCCCAUCAGCUCGUUGGCGGGGUAAAGGCCCACCAAGGCAACGACGGGUAGCUGGUCUGAGAGGACGAUCAGCCACACUGGAACUGAGACACGGUCCAGACUCCUACGGGAGGCAGCAGUGGGGAAUUUUGCACAAUGGGCGAAAGCCUGAUGCAGCAACGCCGCGUGUGUGAUGAAGGUCUUCGGAUCGUAAAGCACUUUCGA
rnacentral:rRNA from 1 species